rnacentral:rRNA from 1 species
GGCGUGCCUAAUACAUGCAAGUGGAACGCAUUGGUAACACCGGACUUGCUCCAGUGUUACUAAUGAGUCGCGAACGGGUGAGUAACGCGUAGGUAACCUGCCUGAUAGCGGGGGAUAACUAUUGGAAACGAUAGCUAAUACCGCAUAAGAGGAGUUAACUCAUGUUAACUGUUUAAAAGAAGCAAUGGCUUCACUAUCAGAUGGACCUGCGUUGUAUUAGCUAGUAGGUAGGGUAACGGCCUACCUAGGCAACGAUACAUAGCCGACCUGAGAGGGUGAUCGGCCACACUGGGACUGAGACACGGCCCAGACUCCUACGGGAGGCAGCAGUAGGGAAUCUUCGGCAAUGGACGCAAAGUCUGACCGAGCAAACGCCGCGUGAGUGAAGACGGUUUUUCGGAUCGUAAAAGCUUCUGUUGUAAGGGGA